UGCAAAAGCAUUUCUCAAAUAGGUCGUUCCAGAAAAUAUCCACACUCUCCCCACAGAGGAAAUUUCUGCCGUUCAGGGGGGGAGGGGGGAAAAUUGUUCUGAUAAUAGUAAAUGUAUUAGGACAUCCAAAGGGGUAGAAGGGAUUAACUUUCAAUUUCCUCUGUGGGAGUGGUAUGGGUAUUUUCUGGAAUGACCCAAUAUAACUGGGUUUUUUUUCAAAUCUAAUCAAAUUGUCAAUCCUUGUACAUGGGGAGGGCAAAUUUUGGAGAAAGAAAAAUUGUGACCAACAGGUUGGGAGUCCACCUGUAGGCCUGGUUAUAUAGGCAUGCAGGGCUGGGCUCAAUUGUUGGGCAGACUAGGCCAGUCGGGCAAUAUUUACUUCACAGUUGGGCAAUAGUGGCUUAUUAUAAAAAUAAAUAUGAGAAAUUAUUCUCUCAAUAUUGGGGGAAAUAUGCUAUAUAGGACUUAGAGGCACUAAUAACUCAAUAAUAAGUAGGCACUAAUACAAACUCUGAGCCAGUGCACCCAUGCUCCUCAAAUUGGUAAUAAU